UAAUGGCGAGAGUGAGAGAUGCUUCUUUUUCGGACCCGCAAUCGAGUAUUUGAAGAAAAUUUUCAGACAGGAAACUCAAACCAAAUAUCACAUCAACAUCUGACAGAAUCAGCAAUUCAUCGGGACCUGGACAUUAUCAGUCUUUGAGUAUUUCCAGCAGCUGCGUAAUUUGUGUUCCUUUUACUGCAAGCAUUGCUCACAUAAUCGAGUCUACAAACACACAUUAAGAGCCAGCUUGUUGCCAGAUGCCGCUAACAAGACC